AAGUCGUAACAAGGUUUCCGUAGGUGAACCUGCGGAAGGAUCAUUACCGAGUUCCGAGUGCCUUAAGGCCUCAACUCCCACCCUAUGUGUACUUGUAAAUACGUUGCUUUGGCGGGUCGGGACCUCGCGUUCCUGUCGGCUUAGGCUGAUGUGCACCCGCCAGAGGACCAGCAAACUCUGUUUAAAUGUACUGUCUGAGUGGAUUAUCAAUAAAUCAAAA
rnacentral:misc_RNA from 1 species